rnacentral:rRNA from 1 species
UAUAGCUAUUCUACCCUGAAUACACCUGAUGUCUGAAGCUAAGCAGGGUCAAGCUUGGGUAGUACUUGGAUAGACAACACUAGUCCAUUUUAUGA